CCGCAAUGUCAAACGCAUAAAAUAAACGGACGGAACGCGAUGGAAUAGUGUGUCGUCGCCAAUUUAAAAUGCGUU